AUUGAACGCUGGCGGCAUGCCUUACACAUGCAAGUCGAACGGUAACAGGUUAAGCUGACGAGUGGCGAACGGGUGAGUAAUAUAUCGGAACGUGCCCAGUCGUGGGGGAUAACUGCUCGAAAGAGCAGCUAAUACCGCAUACGACCUGAGGGUGAAAGCGGGGGAUCGCAAGACCUCGCGCGAUUGGAGCGGCCGAUAUCAGAUGAGGUAGUUGGUGGGGAAAAGGCCCACCAAGCCAACGAUCUGUAGCUGGUCUGAGAGGACGACCAGCCACACUGGGACUGAGACACGGCCCAGACUCCUACGGGAGGAAGCAGUGGGGAAUUUUGGACAAUGGGCGCAAGCCUGAUCCAGCCAUGCCGCGUGCGGGAAGAAGGCCUUCGGGUUGUAAACCGCUUUUGUCAGGGAAGAAAAGGUUCUGGUUAAUACCUGGGACUCAUGACGGUACCUGAAGAAUAAGCACCGGCUAACUACGUGCCAGCCGCCGCAGUAA
rnacentral:rRNA from 1 species